rnacentral:rRNA from 1 species
UUUAUGGAGAGUUUGAUCCUGGCUCAGAGUGAACGCUGGCGGCGUGCCUAAUACAUGCAAGUCGAACGAUGAAGCUUCUAGCUUGCUAGAAGUGGAUUAGUGGCGCACGGGUGAGUAACGCAUAGGUCAUGUGCCUCUUAGUUUGGGAUAGCCAUUGGAAACGAUGAUUAAUACCAGAUACUCCCUACGGGGGAAAGAUUUAUCGCUAAGAGAUCAGCCUAUGUCCUAUCAGCUUGUUGGUAAGGUAAUGGCUUACCAAGGCUAUGACGGGUAUCCGGCCUGAGAGGGUGAACGGACACACUGGAACUGAGACACGGUCCAGACUCCUACGGGAGGCAGCAGUAGGGAAUAUUGCUCAAUGGGGGAAACCCUGAAGCAGCAACGCCGCGUGGAGGAUGAAGGUUUUAGGAUUGUAAACUCCUUUUGUUAGAGAAGAUAAUGACGGUAUCUAACGAAUAAGCACCGGCUAACUCCGUGCCAGCAGCCGCGGUAAUACGGAGGGUGCAAGCGUUACUCGGAAUCACUGGGCGUAAAGAGCGCGUAGGCGGGAUAGUCAGUCAGGUGUGAAAUCCUAUGGCUUAACCAUAGAACUGCAUUUGAAACUACUAUUCUAGAGUGUGGGAGAGGUAGGUGGAAUUCUUGGUGUAGGGGUAAAAUCCGUAGAGAUCAAGAGGAAUACUCAUUGCGAAGGCGACCUGCUGGAACAUUACUGACGCUGAUUGCGCGAAAGCGUGGGGAGCAAACAGGAUUAGAUACCCUGGUAGUCCACGCCCUAAACGAUGGAUGCUAGUUGUUGGAGGGCUUAGUCUCUCCAGUAAUGCAGCUAACGCAUUAAGCAUCCCGCCUGGGGAGUACGGUCGCAAGAUUAAAACUCAAAGGAAUAGACGGGGACCCGCACAAGCGGUGGAGCAUGUGGUUUAAUUCGAAGAUACACGAAGAACCUUACCUAGGCUUGACAUUGAGAGAAUCCGCUAGAAAUAGUGGAGUGUCUAGCUUGCUAGACCUUGAAAACAGGUGCUGCACGGCUGUCGUCAGCUCGUGUCGUGAGAUGUUGGGUUAAGUCCCGCAACGAGCGCAACCCCCUUUCUUAGUUGCUAACAGGUCAUGCUGAGAACUCUAAGGAUACUGCCUCCGUAAGGAGGAGGAAGGUGGGGACGACGUCAAGUCAUCAUGGCCCUUACGCCUAGGGCUACACACGUGCUACAAUGGGGUGCACAAAGAGAAGCAAUACUGCGAAGUGGAGCCAAUCUUCAAAACGCCUCUCAGUUCGGAUUGUAGGCUGCAACUCGCCUGCAUGAAGCUGGAAUCGCUAGUAAUCGCAAAUCAGCCAUGUUGCGGUGAAUACGUUCCCGGGUCUUGUACUCACCGCCCGUCACACCAUGGGAGUUGUGUUUGCCUUAAGUCAGGAUGCUAAAUUAGCUACUGCCCACGGCACACACAGCGACUGGGGUGAAGUCGUAACAAGGUAACCGUAGGUGAACCUGCGGUUGGAUCACCUCCUUUCUAGA